UAAGGAAUAUUGGACAAUGGAGGCAACUCUGAUCCAGCCAUGCCGCGUGAAGGAAUAAGGCCCUAUGGGUUGUAAACUUCUUUUAGACGGGACAAAACCCCUUUACGUGUAAAGGGUUGAUGGUACUGUCAGAAUAAGCAUCGGCUAACUUCGUGCCAGCAGCCGCGGUAAUACGAAGGAUGCAAGCGUUAUCCGGAAUUAUUGGGUUUAAAGGGUGCGUAGGCGGACUAAUAAGUCAGUGGUGAAAGCCUGCAGCUUAACUGCAGAAUUGCCAUAGAUACUGUUAGUCUUGAGUACAGUUGAGGUAGGCGGAAUGUGUCAUGUAGCGGUGAAAUGCUUAGAUAUGACACAGAACACCGAUUGCGAAGGCAGCUUGCUAAGCUGUAACUGACGCUGAGGCACGAAAGCGUGGGGAGCAAACA
rnacentral:rRNA from 1 species